UGUUACUGGUUCUGCUGGUGAGACGAUGUGUUCACAGGAAACCUGAAGCUGAACAAGAAGAAGCUGCAAAUGAUAAUUUCACAAAUGACAUCACAUAUAGUGACAUCAAAUCAUCACAUCGUCAGCAACGUGCAAUCAAAGAACACAGAGACAUUGAUCCAGCUGUGGUGUACUCAGCAGUGAGAACUGAAGAUGUCACUUAUGGACAAAUAGCCGUCAGACCAAAGAAGACCAGAGACUUUAAACCAGAGCCAGAUGUCAUCUACUCUUCACUGAAGUAGUCCACCAGUCCAACCACUGACAUCCAGCUGACGGUCUCUAACUGGUCCCCCCAGCACCUCAGACCAGAGGACAUCCACACGUUGAAACAAUUUUUAUAUGAUUUAUAUUUUUUUUAACCAAAUUAGACUCAUACUAUUUAAAAAGAUUAAAAAGAUUGCAUUUUUUAAUUGCAAUUUAAUUGGUCAUAAAAAUGUUAGUAUAUUUUAUGACACCAAUAUCUUUAAUACUAUUUUAUAUCUUUGCAUUAUUAAAAAAAAC